rnacentral:lncRNA from 1 species
AUGUAUAAAUACACACAUAAGCUCAUCGAAACCUUUAUAUGUUCUUCUUCAACUCUAUCGCUCUAUAAAUCCUCAAAGAUCAUCGGAUUGAUAAAGUUUUGAGGAAAACGAUGUCGGAAUUAGCGGUUGAUUGCCGAACGACAUCGUAUGGAACAGUUUCAUCGAGUGGAUUCUGGUCGACGUAUUGUGGUGAUGUUAGUUAUAAUCAGCUUCAGAAGGUAUUUUAAUUAGAUGUGGUUUUUGUGAUUUUAGAUGUGUUUAUUGUGUUUUAAUUAUUUAAUUGAUUAGUUGUGUAUAGAUGUUACGGGUUUGAAAUAAUAUACUUGUCUGCAAAAGAAACUUACAAUUUGUAAACGAUUUUGAAUUAAAAUGUUUACCUGUGUCUUA